rnacentral:rRNA from 1 species
UGGAGGAAUAUGCAGCAAUGGCGCAAGCUGAUGCAAGCAACGCCGCGUGAGGGACGACGGCCUUCGGGUUGUAAACCUCUUUUAGUAGGGAAGAAGCGAAAGUGACGGUACCUGCAGAAAAAGCACCGGCUAACUACGUGCCAGCAGCCGCGGUAAUACGUAGGGUGCGAGCGUUGUCCGGAAUUAUUGGGCGUAAAGAGCUCGUAGGCGGUCUGUCGCGUCUGCUGUGAAAACCCGAGGCUCAACCUCGGGCCUGCAGUGGGUACGGGCAGACUAGAGUGCGGUAGGGGAGAAUGGAAUUCCUGGUGUAGCGGUGGAAUGCGCAGAUAUCAGGAGGAACACCGAUGGCGAAGGCAGUUCUCUGGGCCGUAACUGACGCUGAGGAGCGAAAGCGUGGGGAGCGAACAGGAUUAGAUACCCUGGUAGUCCACGCCGUAAACGUUGGGCGCUAGAUGUGGGGACCAUUCCACGGUUUCCGUGUCGCAGCUAACGCAUUAAGCGCCCCGCCUGGGGCAGUACGGCCGCAAGGCUAAAACUCAAAUGAAUUGAC